GCGCUUGUUUCGGCAGCACAUAUGCUAAAAUUGGAAUGAUACAGAGAAGAUUAGCAUGGUCCCUGAGCGAGGAUGACACACAAGUUCAUGAAGUGUUCCAUAUUUUU
rnacentral:snRNA from 1 species